rnacentral:rRNA from 1 species
CCUACGGGGGGCUGCAGUGGGGAAUACUGCACAAUGGGCGCAAGCCUGAUGCAGCCAUGCCGCGUGUGUGAAGAAGGCCUUCGGGUUGUAAAGCACUUUCAGCGGGGAGGAAGGCGUUAAGGUUAAUAACCUUGGCGAUUGACGUUACCCGCAGAAGAAGCACCGGCUAACUCCGUGCCAGCAGCCGCGGUAAUACGGAGGGUGCAAGCGUUAAUCGGAAUUACUGGGCGUAAAGCGCACGCAGGCGGUCUGUCAAGUCGGAUGUGAAAUCCCCGGGCUCAACCUGGGAACUGCAUUCGAAACUGGCAGGCUAGAGUCUUGUAGAGGGGGGUAGAAUUCCAGGUGUAGCGGUGAAAUGCGUAGAGAUCUGGAGGAAUACCGGUGGCGAAGGCGGCCCCCUGGACAAAGACUGACGCUCAGGUGCGAAAGCGUGGGGAGCAAACAGGAUUAGAUACCCGGGUAGUC